AUACGGAGGGUGCAAGCGCUACUCGGAAUCACUGGGCGUAAAGCGCGCGCAGGCGGUCUUUUAAGUUGGAUGUGAAAGCCUACGGCUCAACCGUAGAACUGCAUCCAAAACUAUUAGACUAGAGUGUGGGAGAGGAAGAUGGAAUUAGUUGUGUAGGGGUAAAAUCCGUAGAGAUAACUAGGAAUACCAAAAGCGAAGGCAAUCUUCUGGAACACUACUGACGCUGUGGCGCGAAAGCGUGGGGAGCAAACAGGAUUAGAAACCCGGGUAGUCC
rnacentral:rRNA from 1 species